GUAGGUGGCAAGCGUUGUCCGGAAUUAUUGGGCGUAAAGCGCGCGCAGGCGGUUCUUUAAGUCUGAUGUGAAAGCCCACGGGCUCAACCGUGGAGGGUCAUUGAAAACUGGAGAACUUGAGUACAGAAGAGGAAAGCGGAAUUCCACGUGUAGCGGUGAAAUGCGUAGAGAUGUGGAGGAACACCAGUGGCGAAGGCGGCUUUCUGGUCUGUAACUGACGCUGAGGCGCGAAAGCGUGGGGAGCAAACAGGAUUAGAUACCCUGGUAGUCCACGCCGUAAACGAUGAGUGCUAAGUGUUAGGGGGUUUCCGCCCCUUAGUGCUGCAGCUAACGCAUUAAGCACUCCGCCUGGGGAGUACGGCCGCAAAGGCUG
rnacentral:rRNA from 1 species